rnacentral:rRNA from 1 species
GACGAACGCUGGCGGCGUGCCUAAUACAUGCAAGUCGAACGGAGUGGCGCACGGGUGAGUAUUAUCUAGCUAAUCCGCCCCUUGUUGGAGGCCACCCGCUAGAAACGACUGCUAAUACCCCAUAGCAAGGGAUGAGACUAUAUCGUAUCAGCUAGUCGGUGGGGUAACGGCCUACCGAGGCUAUGACGCGUAACUGGUCUGAGAGGAUGAUCAGUCACAGUGGAACUGAGACACGGUCCAAACUCCUUCGGGAGGCAGCAGUAGGGACUAUUGCGCAAUGGGGGAAACCCUGACGCAGCAACGCCGCGUGGAGGAUGACACUUGUCGGAGCGUAAACUCAGUUUGUGAGGGACGCGGUACCUAUCGAAUAAGCACCGGCUAACUCCGUGCCAGCAGCCGCGGUAAUAC